ensembl:lncRNA
CCACCGGGCGGGCCGCGUGACUCACCGCGGAGGCCAGCGCCUUAAAAGGGCAAUCGCUUCCGGUGGCCGACUGGAGGAGGGGCCCACCUGACUCCCACGGGGGUAAAUGGCCCCAGUUUGCAAAGGGCCCCACGUGCCACUCCAAGACUGAACCUGGGAUCAUACCACAUUUUUCAAACUGGUUCCGCCCCUCCCCUUCUUUUGUCUCUUCUCCUGGGCCUCCUCGGACCUGGUUCCAGCCGUAAGGUGUGCUGGAGCAGCUACUCGUCCUCUCUGAGCCCCAUCGUUUAAAAAGCCCACUCUUUGGGACUUCCCCUGCUGUCGAGUGGAUGAGACUCUGCACUUCCAAAGCAGGGGCUGUGUGUGUGUGAGUCGCUCAGCCUCGUCCAACUCUUUGCGACUGUAUGGACUGUAGCCUGGGAGGCUCCUCUGUUCAUGGAAUUCUCCAGGCAAGACUACUACAGUGGGGUAGCCAUUUCCUUCUCCAGUGGAUCCUCCCUGACCCAGAGAUGAAACCCUGGUCUCCUGCAUUGCAGGCAGAUUCUUUAUGGUCUGAACCACCAGGGAAGCUCCAAUGCAGCGGGCGCUGAUUCAGUACCUGGUGGAGGAACUAAGAUCCGUUAUACCUUUCAGGAUCUUCCUGACUCAGGGAUUGAACCUGCCUCUCUUGGAUCUCCUGCACUGGCGAGUGGGUUCUUUAUCCCUAGUGCCACCUGGGAAGCUCCAUAACCAGGCCACAGCACACUGCUAACUGCCGUGAAACCAAGCAACAAGUCACUCCCCAGGAACAAAGGUGACGGCCACCAGGCCGCAGAGCCUUGACCUCAUCUCUUUUCCUACGUGCGGUCCACCCCGUAAUCAUUGUGCCUCCAGGGAGCAUGCCCGCCAAGCAGCGCACGCUGUCAGCCUCCUGUUUACAGAGCCUUUCUGGCGUCAGGUAUAUAGGAUCAUGACCCCUGUGUGUUCCUUCCCUGUCUUCCUUGGCAGGUGCUGUGACAUAAGAAGGAUGCAUGCAUCUUUUUUUUUUCAGGCAGUUGAGACAGCUUAUCUCUCCCCUGAUGCUUGUUAAAAAGGAUUUGAAAUUGAGUGUCAGUGUUGCAAGGUGAAAAGAUUCUCUGAGCUCUGUUGCACGGUGUACAUGCACUUAACACUACCAAAGUGUCCGCUUACAAAUAAAUCUCAAAGCAGCAUUUUUUAACCACAACAAAAAAAUCUUUAAGGAUGAAAUAGGUAGGUGAACAACACAGUGGCUUUGAAAUGACGUGAGAGGACGCAGAAGUUCAUUGAGUUGUACGCUUAUGGUUUGUGUACUUUCCUCUAACAUUGCUUGCACUCAGUCAUCUCUGACGCUGUGCGACCCCAUGGACUGUAGCCUGCCAGGCUUCUCUGUCCGUGGCAUUUUCCAGGCAAGAAUACUGGAGUGAGUUACCAUUGAUAGUAAACGUCACUAGAAAGUUUACAUACAUAUAAAAGUAAUCAUGGAGGAGGAAGACAUAAAGGGCGGGGGGUACAGUUGAAACAACAUUAUCCAUGAGUUGGGUGAGUUCUAGUCUAUUUCUGUGUGUUUGAAAUUUUUCACAAUAAAAGAAUAGAAACGCAGGAAACAUUUAAAAUGUGGGAAAAGUGAUUUGAACAUUUCGAGUAUAAAUCAGGAUGCAUGUGUAGACUCCUUUCAGCAGCUCUGGGGCAAGGCAAGCCGUGAACUGGAUAUGCAAACGGCCACAUUCUGUUCUACAGGAUGAGGAAGGCAGCACCCUUGGAUACUAUCAGGACACUAUGUUCCUCCAAGAGCUUAUCCAAGAAUCCGAGACAAAAAGAAGGGGCCCCAUGGUUGGUCCACAGGUCUCCUUCUCCCGGCCAUCUCUGGCUGAACAUCACUGUUACCCUCCAGGCCCUGCAGACCCCAAAUCUUCCGAGCUUUCUGAGGACUUGGCCCCAGGCACCCUCCAGCCACUCUCAAGGUCAAGUGUAGCCCAAACCUUCCCAACAGAGGCACUGUGUGCAGCCAGGAACCCCCUUUGCACUCCCAGUGCUCACUCUGAAGCCUGGUACUUUCUGGGACAUACAGAAGCUUUUGCCAAAUCACCCUCUGUCACCUUGGGUGAGCCAUGCCCCCUCAUCACAGGACAAUCCAGCUAAUCUUCCUCCAUGGACCCGAAUUUAAAAAGUUUUUUAGGCACUUCCUUGGUGGUCCAAUGGUUAAGACUCCACACUCCUAAUGCAAGGGGUACUGACCCAGGGACUAAGAUCCUGAAUGCUGCUCAGCCAAAAAAAAAAAAACACAAAAAAACAAAACUAUUUAGCUCCUCUCUCCAGUGGGUGCUGAAGAAGCUCAGUUCAGUUCAGCCGCUAAGUUGUGUCUGACUCUGCAACCCCAUGGACUGCAGCAUGCCAGGCUUCCCUGUCCUUCACCAUCUCCCGGAGUUUGCUCAAAUUCAUGGCCAUUGAGUCAGUGAUGCCAUCCAAUCAUCUCAUCCUCUGUUGCCACCCCCUCAUCCUCAGUCUUUCUCAGCAUCAGGGUCUUUUCCUAUAAGUCUGCUUUUCACAUCAGGUGGCCAAAGGAUUGGAGCUUCAGCUUCAGCAUCAGUCCUUCCAGUGAAUAUUCAGGGUUGAUUUCCUUUAGGAUUGACUGGUUUGAUCUUGCAGUCCAAGGGACUCUCCUAAAUCAAAAAGGGAUGCUAGAAGGAAGUGGUUUGCAUUUCCCUGCACCUCUGCCAGGGUGAGAUCAAAACAACUGCUAAAGGAAGAAGACGUGGGUCCUGGGCUUGUCUUCACCCUCAUCACAUCAGAUCAGCUAAAACUGUCAGUUAAAAAAAAAAAUCAAUAAAGCUGUCAGGGCUCAGAAGUCCACAAGAUGAUUCUGUUCCCGGGGUCUCAGUGACCUUCAAGACUACCUGGAAUGUAACUGCUAGACGGACGAUUCGGUGAUGAGCAUAUGAAGUCAGGUCUGGGCUGCGGCAGCCCCAUCCCCGCCCCCACUCCUCUGUCAUCAGGUGAGAGGUGAGGGCUGGGGACUGGCAGGCAGGGGUAGCUGGGAAAAUCUCGGUGUGAUUCAAACAAUUUGCUUUUCCGCAAUUUUACAUGUUAACUAUUAUUGACCACCUCCUCUCUCCAGGUCAGACUUUCAUCCCUUGACGUUGGAUGGGUAAACAAAACACCUGGAGUCCCCAGGCCCCGUCCUGACCUUCCCUCACCCCAUCUCUGGGACCAGCUUCUGGAGUUGACCCCUCCCCACAGGUAGCUCCAGCUCCUGUAAUCUCUCUGAGGAUAGUGAUAGGGGCCUCCUGCCUGGGCUCACUGCCCCCAGGGUAUGGGCCUUCCACUCACCAACAUUUGUGACUCAACUUUCCUGUAACUCAAGAAUGCUCUCUGGGCUUCCCUGGUGGUCCAGUGGUUAAGAAUUCACCUUGCAAUACCAGGGACACAGGUUUGAUCUCUGUUCUGGGAAGCUCUCAUGUACCAUGGGGCAACCGAUCCUGUGCCCCACAGCUAAUGAGCCUGUGCUCUGGAGGUCACAAGCUCCCAGUGCUGAGCCUACGUGCUGCAGCUACUGAAGCCCGAGAGCUCUAGAGCCUGCGUUCUGCAACAGGAGAAGACACCACAGUGAGAAGCCCUUGAGCCACAACUAGAGUAGCCCCCACUUGCUGCAACUGGAGAAAGCCCGCCUGCAGCAAAGAAGACCCAGCAUAGCCAAAGAUAAAUAAAUUGAAAAAAAAAAAAAAAAGCUCUCUUGGGUCUGAUGUUUUUCAUGGAUAUUUGUUUUAGCUUCCAGCUUCAUCAUGUUCCUUGGAAGCAGGAACUAACCCUGUUUUGAGGCUGGAUGCAGAGCAGCCUGAGAAUAAUAGCUACCUAGUCAAUUAAGCUAUUGUCUUUCUAGGUUGUUCAGUUAUACCCAGAGAAAUUCUCCUGCUCCCCUGCCAUGUUUGGAGUGACAAUAGGUGUGAUUAAAAGGAUAAGAUCAGGACACUAGGGCUGUUUGGGGACUAUUAGGUGCACCCCAAUAUCAGGCCUUAUGAUCACCCACGAGGCUCUGCAGGAAGGCCCGUUCUGGGUGGCUUUGUAUUUUCAUGCUUCUCAUAGAAAGGAUUUUUUUUUUUAAAGUAUAACAUUGUUUUUAGAAUAUACAGUAAUGUAAAUGUUCCAAAGCUCAACGCAGAUUAAAACAUACUCCCUAAUUGUUUGUUGCUUCCUCGUUCUCUCUUUUCCCAGCCCAAGACAUAUGUUUUUGAUAUCACAGCAAACAGCAAUUGAUUCUAUUUCUAGUUGCUUCAAAAACAAUUCUAAUGGCCUAGUCACUGUCCAAACAAGGCAAAGGCUGGGUGGAUCAGCCUCCUUAUGUCACAGUUAUAAGGAAGGUCCUUGUAGUUAAAUGUCUCCCAGCCCCCAGUUCCAUAUAUUUAAUUCCUUCUCUUGAUAUUUCAUCCUUUCAG